CUCAAGAUGGAGGGAGCCUAAACGUCGGUCUCAAGAGUACCCAGAUGCCUUCCAUUCCAGCCACACUUAUUCCAGUCUUACCCAGGCACAGUGUAUACAAGGGAGAAGGUCUGGUCAUGCCGGCCACUCCCUAAACAUGGGUAAACGAGUCUCUGGCUUAAGUCAGGAGAUGAGUUCGCCCCGCCAGACUUGCUCGUCCCGCCACAACUCUGGCAUUCCAACAUAUGCACACAACCAACUUGGUUACCUGUAUCUGACCCCCAAGCGUCUGAGAAGCCUGGCAUCGUGAUCCUCCUCACUUGCGUCCAUGUGAUAGCUGUCCAUCUCCAGGUCGUCGUCUUCAGAAGAGGACGCAGACUGCGGAGGUCCGGCGGUCAUUGGAGGCAUCGUGCCACUUUUGAAAGGAGAACCAAACCGACGUGUUCUAACAACCUCAACGUGCGGCAGGAAAGACGCCAACUGUCUCACUUCACCUUCCACGAAGAAUUUGACCCUGCCUCGCACUAACUCUUGUCCUGGUAACACGUGGUGCCAUCCAGGGAGGGAACACGCUGCUUCGCUGCUCCUUCCACGGAGGAAUUGGACGCUGCAUAGCACCAGGCUUGUCACUGGUAACACGUGGUGCCAUCCUGGGAGGGAGAACACACUGCCUCGCUGGGCCUUACACGGAGGAACCGGACCCUGCCUCGCACUAACUCUUGUCCUGGUAACACCGGUGCCGUCCAGGGAGAGAGGACAUUGCCUCUGUGCACCUUACUGUGGAAUUGUACCCUGCCAUGACAACGCGGUACCAUGCAGGGAGGGAGGACAGACCGCCUCGCUUCAUCUAAUCAAUACUUGUUGCUGAUCACUCUUGUUAUAUUAUUCAUUCAGAUGUUAUUCCUUCAUUUUCUGUGAUGUACCCACAUAACUGGUGUUAGUAUUUGAUAAUAAAUCAUAAAAUUGUUA